GGGCCCCACCCCCUCCGGGGGCCCGGCUGCCCGGGGUGCCUCCGCGGUGCAGGGAGAGCAGCUGCUGCAGCAUGUCCGUGAUGAGCUCCAGCCUCUGGUCCAGCUGUGUCACCUGCGGGGACAGGAGCAGAGGCCAGCGUGUCCCUGGACCCAUCUGGGCCCCAGGCUGGCUGUGCAUCCCGCCCCCAGGACCGGACGGAGCAGGCUGGCCAGGCGGACUGGCGCUGGACAAGACGCUGUGUGGUGAAGGGGCCACAGAUCCCGUGGAGCUGGGUACCCGGAGGACCCAGGUUUCAGAGGUGAGCGGGGCACCCCACAGCCCUCCCUCCACGCUGGACACGGCGUCAGAGGGGAAGCGGGGCUGGUGGAUGGGGAUGAAAUGAGAGGAGGGGUCUCUCCUGAGUCGGGGUGGGGGUGGUGGUGGUGCGUGUCCUUUAACCUGAGACCCCACAGCGGGGGGCGGCAGGAUGGGGGCUGGAACGUGGAAUGCCUGUCCCAGCAGUGCCUGUCAGGACGGCUGCCUGUGAGGUGGGGCCUGUGCCCUUCCCCAGAGGAGGUGGCCCUGGUGACCUGCCCCCCACUCGGCUUUGCCUGGGGGCGGCGGCAGCACGGAGGCUGG